rnacentral:misc_RNA from 1 species
UCCGGUUCAUCACCAGCAGUCUCCUUAGAGUCCCCGCCAUUACGCGUUGGCAACUAAGGAUAGGGGUUGCGCUCGUUACGGGACUUAACCCAACAUCUCACAACACGAGCUGACGACAGCCAUGCAGCACCUGUCUCUAGGUUCCUUUCGGCACUUCCGCAUCUCUGCAGAAUUCCUAGGAUGUCAAGGGCAGGUAAGGUUCUUCGCGUUGCAUCGAAUUAAACCACAUGCUCCACCGCUUGUGCGGGCCCCCGUCAAUUCCUUUGAGUUUCAACCUUGCGGUCGUACUCCCCAGGCGGGGUACUUCCUGCGUUAGCGCCGGCACCCAGAGGGUCGCUCCCCCAGGCACCUAGUACCCAUCGUUUACGGCGUGGACUAC